AUUUUAUUUGACCAUUAAAAGACAUACACCAGUGCUGUCACAUUGUAUUAACUAUCAAGAAUAAUUAAGUACAAGACUUAACAAUUGGCGACAAGGAUGGGAUAACUCAGCACCAGAAGGACAGGAACCAACCCUGAUGAUGCUUCCAUCCUUCCAGAUGUAACUAUCUAGCUUCUAUAAAAACACCAGAAGGACAGGAACAGACUCGAACCAUGCUUCCAUCUUUCCAGAAGUUUACCAGUUUCCGGUUGCAUCCUUCUACAAAGGACAGGAACCAACCCUGAUGAUGCUUCCAUCCUUUGAGACAUUAUUAUCCAGCUUCUAUGAAAAGAAAGUGAACAUGGUUUUGUUGCUGCUUAUUUUUCUUCUUCCUUCAUGUUUUCUUACUUUGGAUUUUUUGUUUCAGCAGCACCAGAAGGACCGGAACAGACUCGAACAAUGCUUCCCAUCCUUCCAGAAGUUUAUUUUUACUUACUUUGGGUUAAAAUUUUAUUGACUCAGGAACCAAUUACCAGUUUUCCAUAGAGCUAUAUACUCAACAUAUGAUGGUCUCGGGGCUCCGGAACCAAUUACCAGUUUUCAAUAGACAAAUGUACUCAACGUAUGAUGUUUUCAACAUACAAUGGUCCUCCCAGAAUCAAUUACCAUCAUAUGUUGAGGGACCACUCUACCAGGUUUCCAUAGAGUUACGGUUUAAACAUACAAUGGUUGUCCUGGAACCAAUUAAUAUUGCCUCAUUGCCCAAUUUGUCUAAUUGCCCAAUUGCAUUGCACAAUUAACUUUUCUUUGUUUUCAGUUUGACCCCACAAAUAAUAAUAUUCUGGUUUCGCAAUACAUCAUAUGGUAAAAUGAAAGGAGAAAAAACAUUUUUUACAAAAUUUGCCCUCUUGCGGUUCUGCUAAAGGAAAAAAUGUUUAUGGGUCUUAGCAGGAGCGUAGCUAGAAACCACAGAGCCCUGAUGCAAAAAGUUGCCCUAGGCCCCCCAACUAACCCUAAAGCUCCUGCGCUCACUUCAUACCCGAGCCCGAUGUAUGGCGCUGUGCACAAAGUUACAUGCUGCAGUGCCGUAUAUUUACAGCAUGCCGUGUUCUUAAGUUAUAAACUGCCGUACCGGCUGCGGCGGACUAGACAGGAUAGUGAUUUGGACAAAGCGGCUUGUCAGUUGUCUUCUCAAGUGCAGGGCAGAGUAUAUUAGACUAUGUAGCCCAUGUCUUUUGGGUGGGGGUCCCAGCAGUCGGACCCCCUCCAAAAUAAAAUGGACUGCAUAGUCUGAAAAUCACCUUGGUUCAAGUGGCUCUCCAGCGGUUGCAAAGUUACAACUCCCAUCAUGCCUGGAGAGCUUCAGACAUUAUGGGAGUUGUCAUUUUGUAACAGCUAGAGAGCCGCAGAUUGGGGUACAGUUUCACUAAUAACCCUGCUAAUCUUACAAGUGAUUAA